rnacentral:rRNA from 1 species
UACGGAGGGGGCUAGCGUUGUUCGGAAUUACUGGGCGUAAAGCGCGCGUAGGCGGCUUUGUAAGUCAGAGGUGAAAUCCUGGAGCUUAACUCCAGAACUGCCUUUGAGACUGCAUCGCUUGAAUCGUGGGGAGGUAAGUGGAAUUCCGAGUGUAGAGGUGAAAUUCGUAGAUAUUCGGAAGAACACCAGUGGCGAAGGCGACUUACUGGACACGUAUUGACGCUGAGGUGCGAAAGCGUGGGGAGCAAACAGG